rnacentral:rRNA from 1 species
GUGGGGAAUAUUGCACAAUGGGGGGAACCCUGAUGCAGCGAUGCCGCGUGGAGGAAGAAGGUUUUCGGAUUGUAAACUCCUUUUAACAGGGACGAUAAUGACGGUACCUGAAGAAAAAGCUCCGGCUAACUACGUGCCAGCAGCCGCGGUAAUACGUAGGGAGCGAGCGUUGUCCGGAAUUACUGGGUGUAAAGGGAGCGUAGGCGGGACGGUAAGUCAGGUGUGAAAUAUACGUGCUCAACAUGUAGACUGCACUUGAAACUGCUGUUCUUGAGUGAAGUAGAGGUAAGCGGAAUUCCUAGUGUAGCGGUGAAAUGCGUAGAUAUUAGGAGGAACAUCGGUGGCGAAGGCGGCUUACUGGGCUUUUACUGACGCUGAGGCUCGAAAGCGUGGGGAGCAAACAGGAUUAGAAACCCUGGUAGUCC